rnacentral:lncRNA from 1 species
AUAAUUUUUAACCUUAAAAUAAAAAUUUAUAAAUAUAAAUUCUAAAUUUUAAAUUUGAAAUUUGAAAUUAUAAAUUUUAAAUUGAUAUAUUUAAUUUUUUAAAUUUAAAAUUUAAAAUUUUAUAUUUCUAAAUUUAGAUUUGCUAUUAAAUUUAAAAUUUGAAAUUGAAAAUUUAGAACUUUGAAUUUUUUAAUUUGAGGUUUUUAAAUUCAAAUUUUAAUUUUAAAUUUUUAAAAUUUAAGAGUUAUAUAAAUUUAAAAUUUUAAAUAUAAAAUUUUAAAAAAUUAAUUCAAAUAUAAUAAAGAGGGCAAUAUCAUUAUUUUCUAUUUAUAACCAUCUACUAUCCUUUUUAUUUCACUUACUCCAACCAAAUACUAUUUUGCUUAUACCUGGACUAAACCCAAUACUAAACCAAACACAAAAUUACUCUAUACCCACCUUAUACCUUAUCUUAUGCCUAUUCCUGGAGCAACUAGUUCUUACUUAUAUCCGAACCAAAUGAAACCUAAAAGCUGAAGUUAUUAGAGAACGGUAUAUUUUUAUAUUUAACACUCUCCCUCACGUUUGGGCUCAAGACUUUUUUGCGAGGCCCAUGACGUGGACUUGAAUUAAAUGGGAGAAAAUUAAUAAUGCUAGGAGCGUGGCAUGAUUCAAACUCAGGACCUUCUGUUCUGAUACCAUGUGAAACAACCGUUGUACCCUAAAAUUUUAAGCUAUUAGAGAACGGUGUAUUUUUAUAUUUAACAACACAUAGUAUAGAGUGGUUCUUAAACCAACCAAGAAAACCAUCCAAUAUCUUAAUAAGUUGGGUCAGAUUUGCCCAUCAUGGGUGACCUA